rnacentral:snRNA from 1 species
AGUUUUGCACAGUGGCAAUCUCAUAGUCAAUGAGGUCUAUCUGAGGCGUGAUUAUUGCUAAUUGAAGCCUUUUCCCAGAUAGUCUAUGCCCUGUGAAACUAUCUUUCAAAACAAAGGCGCAACAGAGACUUUUUGCCAGAGAAACAA